rnacentral:rRNA from 1 species
UCUAAGUAUAAGCAAUCUAUACGGUGAAACUGCGAAUGGCUCAUUAAAUCAGUUAUCGUUUAUUUGAUAGUACCUUACUACUUGGAUACCUGUGGUAAUUCUAGAGCUAAUACAUGCUGAAAACCUCGACUUCGGAAGAGGUGUAUUUAUUAGAUAAAAAACCAAUGCCCUUCGGGGCUCCUUGGUGAUUCAUAAUAACUUAACGAAUCGCAUGGCCUUGCGCCGGCGAUGGUUCAUUCAAAUUUCUGCCCUAUCAACUUUCGAUGGUAAUGUCUUGGAUUACCAUGGUGUCUACGGGUAACGGGGAAUUAGGGUUCUAUUCCGGAGAGGGAGCCUGAGAAACGGCUACCACAUCCAAGGAAGGCAGCAGGCGCGCAAAUUACCCAAUCCCGACACGGGGAGGUAGUGACAAUAAAUACUGAUGCAGAGCUCUUUUGGGUUUUGCAAUUGGAAUGAGUACAAUUUAAAUCCCUUAACGAGGAACAAUUGGAGGGCAAGUCUGGUGCCAGCAGCCGCGGUAAUUCCAGCUCCAAUAGCGUAUAUUAAAGUUGUUGCAGUUAAAAAGCUCGUAGUUGAAACUUGGGUCUGGCUGGCCGGUCCGCCUCACCGCGUGCACUGGUCCGGCCGGGCCUUUCCUUCUGGGGAGCCGCAUGCCCUUCAUUGGGUGUGUCGGGGAACCAGGACUUUUACUUUGAAAAAAUUAGAGUGUUCAAAGCAGGCCUAUGCUCGAAUACAUUAGCAUGGAAUAAUAGAAUAGGACGUGUGGUUCUAUUUUGUUGGUUUCUA